rnacentral:rRNA from 1 species
GCACUAUAAGUGUCCUAAAGGGUUGUCGUAGACUACGACGUUGAUAGGCAGGGUGUGUAAGUGCUGCGAGGCAUUGAGCUAACCUGUACUAAUUGCCCGUGAGGCUUAACCAUACAACACCCAAGGGGUUU